rnacentral:rRNA from 1 species
UACGUAGGGGGCAAGCGUUGUCCGGAAUCAUUGGGCGUAAAGAGCGUGUAGGCGGCUCGAUAAGUCUGCUGUGAAAGUCCAGGGCUCAACCCUGGAAGGCCGGUGGAAACUGUCGGGCUAGAGUCCGGAAGAGGCGAGUGGAAUUCCCGGUGUAGCGGUGAAAUGCGCAGAUAUCGGGAGGAACACCAAUGGCGAAGGCAGCUCGCUGGGACGGUACUGACGCUGAGACGCGAAAGCGUGGGGAGCAAACAGU